GGAUCUCUUGGUUCUGGCAUCGAUGAAGAACGCAGCGAAAUGCGAUAAGUAGUGUGAAUUGCAGAAUUCAGUGAAUCAUCGAAUCUUUGAACGCACAUUGCGCCCCUUGGUAUUCCAUGGGGCAUGCCUGUUCGAGCGUCAUUUGUACCUUCAAGCUAUGCUUGGUGUUGGGUGUUUGUCCCGCCUCUGUGCGCGGACUCGCCUUAAAGCAAUUGGCAGCCAGCGUAUAGGUUUCAGAGCGCAGCACAAUCCGCGCUUUGUGUCCAUUACAACAACGUCCAUUAAGCCUUUUUUACACUCUUAACCUCGGAUCAGGUAGGGAUACCCGCUAAACUUAAGCAUAUCAAUAAGCGGAGGA
rnacentral:rRNA from 1 species